GAUGAAGAACGUAGCGAAAUGCGAUACUUGGUGUGAAUUGCAGAAUCCCGUGAACCAUCGAGUCUUUGAACGCAAGUUGCGCCCGAAGCCAUUAGGCCGAGGGCACGCCUGCCUGGGCGUCACACGUCGUUGCCCCCCCCAUCUACUCCUUCGGGAUUGCGGGGGGCGGAUGAUGGCCUCCCGUGUGCCUCGCCGCGCGGUUGGCAUAAAUGCCAAGUCCUCGGCGACGCACGCCACGACAAUCGGUGGUUGCGAAACCUCGGUUGCCCGUCGUGUGCGGUCGUCGCGCAUCGAGGGCUCGAAAAAAUUGCCGGGUUCCGGCUCGGCUUUCAACGCGACCCCAGGUCAGGCGGGGUUACCCGCUGAAUUUAAGCAUUCAAUAAGCGGAGGA
rnacentral:misc_RNA from 1 species